UACGUAGGGGGCAAGCGUUGUCCGGAUUUAUUGGGCGUAAAGAGCGUGUAGGCGGCCAGACAGGUCCGUUGUGAAAACUCGAGGCUCAACCUCGAGAUGUCGAUGGAAACCGUCUGGCUAGAGUCCGGAAGAGGAGUGUGGAAUUCCUGGUGUAGCGGUGAAAUGCGCAGAUAUCAGGAAGAACACCUAUGGCGAAGGCAGCACUCUGGGACGGUACUGACGCUGAGACGCGAAAGCUAGGGGAGCGAACAGG
rnacentral:rRNA from 1 species